rnacentral:rRNA from 1 species
GACGAACGCUGGCGGCGUGCUUAACACAUGCAAGUCGAACGAUGAAGCGGUGCUUGCACCGUGGAUUAGUGGCGAACGGGUGAGUAAUACGUGAGUGACCUACCUUUGACUCUGGGAUAAGCCUGGGAAACUGGGUCUAAUACCGGAUACGACCAAUCUCUGCAUGGGGUGUUGGUGGAAAGCGUUAUGGAGUGGUUUUAGAUGGGCUCACGGCUUAUCAGCUUGUUGGUGAGGUAAUGGCUUACCAAGGCGACGACGGGUAGCCGGCCUGAGAGGGUGACCGGCCACACUGGGACUGAGACACGGCCCAGACUCCUACGGGAGGCAGCAGUGGGGAAUAUUGCACAAUGGGCGCAAGCCUGAUGCAGCGACGCCGCGUGAGGGAUGACGGCCUUCGGGUUGUAAACCUCUGUUAGCAUCGAAGAAGCGAAAGUGACGGUAGGUGCAGAGAAAGCGCCGGCUAACUACGUG